UGGGCUUAGGGAAGUGGACUCCAGCAACGGUGAAUGAUGGCGUGCCUGGAGGUGAAGACACCAGUCAGGGGGGCUCUGCCCGCCGUGAUCCACAUCGGGAACCACAGAGGCCUGCAGUAAAGCAGGACGACGGCCGUCGGUCCCGGCAAGGUCUGAAAGGCACUGGCAGGCUCCUGAGGCUUUCAGGCCCGUAUUUAUGAAGCUCACUCUUCCUGCCACAUGGAGAAGAACUAGAGAAGCGUACACAGAAGGCAGAGGGCAUGGUGGCAGAGCCACGGCGAGAAGACACAUCCGGAUAGAUGUGGGUGACGGAGCAGCCCUGGGGAAUGGUUCUCAAGUUCCUUCUGGAACCUCAUCGGCACUCUGGAGCCUUCCUUCAUGGUUUCAGCAUUCUGCGACAUGUGUUCUUCUGUUUGAUCUCGUGAGAUGGGCAAGGAGAGCAGCGGAGGACAUGGGGUUCAGAAAGGCUUCGAUAACAGGUGCCCUGGCGUGAAGGUGUCCUCCCCCAGCCCCAAAUUCACAUGUUGGAGUCCUAAUGUCCUCACGUCAAUGUAAAGGUGUUAGAGGUAGGGGCCUUCGGGAGGUGCCUGGGUCACGAGGUGAAGCCUUCGUGGAUGGGGAACAUCCCUUACAAGGGAACCCACAGUGCUCCCUGCCGCCCCCCCGACCCUCUCAGGAGGCAACAAGACGUCUGUGCCUGGAAGAGAGCCCUCACCUGACCCUGCUGGCACCCUCAUCUCAGACUUCCAGCCUCCAGACCGGGGAGAAGCGAAACGUGGAUGCGGAGACUGACAUGCACGCAGAGCAAAUGCCAUAUGAAGACAGGCGUUCUGCAGCCACAAGCCAAGGAACCAGAAGCCAGGGCUGAGCCUGCAGAGGGAGCGUAGCCCUGCUGAUGCCUUGACCUUGGACUUCUUGCCUCCAGAACUGGACUAACCCAGAUGUACAUGGGAAGGGCUCAGGAACCACUCAAUGGACAAGAUGGAAAAUCGAAAGCUGAGUCUGGGCUGGCUUGCUUCACUCAGCUGUUCUGUCCCCACUCGUUCACGGGAGCUGCCCCA